GUGCAGCAGGCGAGAAUUUUUCUCAAUGGGGGCAACCCUGAAGGAGCGACGCCGCGUGGAGGAUGAAGGCUUUCGGGUCGUAAACUCCUGUCAUUUGAGAACAAGUGGCCGAACAUAACUACUUCGGCCUUGAUAGUAUCAGAAGAGGAAGGGACGGCUAACUCUGUGCCAGCAGCCGCGGUAAUACAGAGGUCCCAAGCGUUGUUCGGAUUCAUUGGGCGUAAAGGGUGCGUAGGUGGCGCCGUCAGUGGGGUGUGAAAUUCCGGAGCUUAACUCCGAAACUGCAUUCCAUACUGCGGUGCUUGAGGACUGGAGAGGAGACUGGAAUUUACGGUGUAGCAGUGAAAUGCGUAGAGAUCGUAAGGAAGACCAGUGGCGAAGGCGGGUCUCUGGACAGUUCCUGACACUGAGGCACGAAGGCUAGGGGAGCGAACGGGAUUAGAUACCCGGGUAGU
rnacentral:rRNA from 1 species